UCUCUCCCCUCAGUCUCUUCCCCCUCUCUCCCUACUGUCCCGUAGUCUCUCCCCUCAGUCUCUUCCCUCUCUCCCUACUGUCCCGUAGUCUCUCCCCUCAGUCUCUUCCCUCUCUCCCUACUGUCCCGUAGUCUCUCCCCCUCAUCUCUUCCCUCUCUCCCUACUGUCCCGUAGCACCCUAUUCCCUCAAUCUCUAUCCUUUACUUAUCCAUUCAACUCUCCAUGUUAUUCCCACCCUGUCACUCUCGUUAGGCAUGUCUCCCACCAAAGUACCUCACACUCUCAUCCCACCCGGACACUUCUGUUUUUGAUCCUUGCUUCUCUUGCAGCUAGACAUUUUCUGUCAUGCUGUAAUUUUUCUCAGAGCACAUAAAUGCACUACUACCGUCUCCACUCUGACGACUGUCAGUGUACACUCUAUCUCUGUGUCCUCUCAAAACAAGCAAACAAAUCAUGAGCCAGUUCGGCAAGCCAAACAUCCUGUCUGUGUGAAGUCGAUGGUGGAGACCAGGGGAGAAGGAUUCUCCUACCACGCUGAGGAUCAUGGGUAGUGUAGUUUGCCAGGUUCCUCCCCUUUGUCUCCUGUCUGGUGUGUCUCUGUCGUCUUACAUACGUGCACACCGGGAUGAUGAGGAGGAAGAGGAAGUGAUGACAUUGCUCUCCAGCUCUAUCCACCAUUUUGUGUAUUUAUUAUUAGUGAUGAUCGUUUUGUUGCUCACAAUGUUUAAAGAGGAAAAGUGUUUGUGGAAGAAAACAAUUAGACCAAUAUUUAUGUUGUAAAGAGGAAUAUAUACAUUUUGGGGGUUAUAUAUGAGAAUGCUGCUUUGAUGUUUUUGAUCCUGGGGUGUCAUAGGAUAGUAUGACCACGAGGUGGCGCAUGACUGGGCAGGCCCAGAGGAAUCUGUAUGGGCAUUGGGCAAUAGUCUGAAGUGGUUUCCUCACUUGUCUUCUUUCCUUCAUCUGCACUGAUAUGAAAGGAGUGGAGACAAGUGAAAAACAGCCAUAGCCGUAUUGCUUUCACCUAACCUGUUGUGUUGUUGUGUUAAAGGAGAGGAGACCAGGAGCGGGAUCUAUUUUAGACUAUUGAGAUGCACCUCCUGUCUGUCCCAGAUGUGUUUCCCUACUUCCUUUUUGGGGGGAAUUUAAAUUAUACAUAUUUUAAGUAUGAAUUAUUCCUUAUUUGAAUGUGCAUUGACUGUGUCAGAGCUAUGCGUUGUGUUUGUUUGUUAUUUUCUCUGUGUGAAAUCAAAGCUUUAAUGUGUCAGGAUUCUGGAAGUGAGUGAAGGGGCUCCGCGAGUUUGUCUGCCUGUUAGACCGUUGACCAGCACCCACACCUAUGACAGCCCCUGACCACUGGAGGGCGCCAAACUCCAGCCCUUCUAUACAGUCUGCUGUGCGGAGGCCCUCUGUUUUCAUACCUGUCCUGCAUUGGUCACAAUGUGACACACACACACACAGAUGAAAGUUGAAGGAGAGUAUGGCAAUAUCAGAGUGUAUUGUUUGGAUAGCUACAGUCCAACCGCUUAAGAAACAGGUUUAGUCCUACAUUCCACUAGACCUACAUUCCAUUCCAAUAUGUCUCUUGUCAAUCUGUCCCCAGUCAAUCAGUCAAUCAAAUGUAUUUAUAAAGCCCUUUUUACAUCAGCAGAUGUCACAAAGUGAUGUAGAGAAACCCAGACUAAAACCAUAAACAGCAAGCAUUCUCGUCUCACAACUGUGCAGAGUCUGGCGAGUGAGAUUACUCUGUCCCCAGCAGAAUAAAAUAUGUGGAAACUUGAGAUGAGUAUGAAUAAUGGCCAAGUGCUUACUUUAUAAGCCAUUACAUCAAUACUGUUGCUUUGCACUGUAACUUUGAUGACGAUAUUUCUAAAGCCUUGUGGGCAGGCGUGUACAGAGAAUAGGCCUACCUAGUACCCACACAUCCCAAUUUCAGUGUCAUCUUUAAGUACUGCUAUCUUAUUCCUGUGACACUGAAUAGAGAGACGCGAGUGUCACAGACUCUGAGGUUAUCAGUUUACUCUGUUUGGUGAUGUCCAGAGACAACUCCCUAGCUGCUAGGAAGUUGUGUAGAAUGCACACACUAAGGGGUAAGAGGCUAGGAGUUGUUUCUGGACAGGACACAUGUGUCACAAACCAAUUGUAACGUGUGAGAGGGAUAGGGUGUUGGUCAGGUCUUUAACCAGAGGGAGGCGCUGUUUCCCAGCAAAAUCAUCCUGGCUGCUGCCUAACACACCAGUGAACCCUCAUUCCAUAGGACUAAACAUUAUUAUUAUGACCUACUAACAAACUGUAUCAAAGAAUGUCUGAUUUAUUUAUAAAAUAUAUUGUUGAAAUAUCAAUGCAUUGCUCUUCUAUAGUACUGGGAUGAUGGAUAACGAAUAAAACGGAUUGAUGAAUGGAAACUUACUUUGUUUACCUUGGUUGUAUAUUGUGUUGAAGUGAAGAGUCCCAAAUGGUAAAUAAAUAAUGCUCUAUACCUUUAUUUUUUAUGAUUGGUUCAUAUCAGUUGCAUGGUAUGCUUGAGCCAAUCAUGAGACCCGAUGAUACUGACAAACAGGAAGUAGGAUGUAGAACUAGAAGCCUGCAUUGAAUAUGUUAGGUGAUUUUUGGAGUCAUGGGUAAC
ensembl:lncRNA